rnacentral:ncRNA from 1 species
GGCCGGAUAAGGCGCUUACGCCGCAUCCGGCGGUUGUGCGCUGGUGCCGGAUGCGCUUGCGCUUAUCCGGCC